rnacentral:rRNA from 1 species
UACGAGGGGGGCGAGCGUUGUUCGGAAUUAUUGGGCGUAAAGGGCGCGUAGGCGGUCGGAUAAGUCUUGUGUGAAAUCUUCGGGCUCAACUCGAAGUCUGCACAGGAAACUAUCUGGCUUGAGUGUGGGAGAGGUGAGUGGAAUUCCUGGUGUAGCGGUGAAAUGCGUAGAUAUCAGGAGGAACACCGAUGGCGAAGGCAGGUCUCUGGGCCACUACUGACGCUGAGAAGCGAAAGCGUGGGGAGCGAACAGG